UACGAAGGGGGCUAGCGUUGCUCGGAAUCACUGGGCGUAAAGCGCACGUAGGCGGAUUGUUAAGUCAGGGGUGAAAUCCUGGAGCUCAACUCCAGAACUGCCUUUGAUACUGGCGAUCUUGAGUUCGGGAGAGGUGAGUGGAACUGCGAGUGUAGAGGUGAAAUGCGUAGAUAUCGGAAGGAACACCUGUGGCGAAAGCGGCUCACUGGACCAUAACUGACGCUGAUGCACGAAAGCUAGGGGAGCAAACAGG
rnacentral:rRNA from 1 species